ensembl:lncRNA
ACUGGGCAGCACAGAUGUCGUGAUGAUAGCUCAGCAAGGAUUCACGGGGAACGGACGGUGCACUCUCGCACUUGCUUUGUUUCAUGUGACAACAUUAGCUGAUCCGAGAAAAGAAUGCGUGGAUAAGGUCUUCUUGUCCUUACUUUACAGGAGACAGCAGCGGUGCACAAUAAACCCCUGAGUGGCUGCCCUUGGGGCACAUAUUUAGAGGCAGAUUGAGGACUAAGCACUGUGUGAGCGGUGAGGAUGAAAGGAACCGAAGAUAAGGAGUUGCAGAAAAACCUGAGCAGAGAAGAGGAAGCCUGCACAAGAUUUGCUCAUUGAUUUUUUUGCUCUUCCUAGAGCCAAUUUUGCUCUUUUCAUCUGGCUGAAAUCUAGUCAUCCUUCAAAAUGGUAGCGACACAAAAGAACUCAUCCUGACUCUCCUACACAGAUGUAGGAUGGCUCUUCUUGGCGCACCUGGAAAGAAUCCACACACCAGUAGGAGACCUGGCUGUGCCUCACCUGAGGAAGAAAACCAUUCAGAAGCUACAAACCCUUUCAUCCCUCAAAUAUGCAACUAAUCCAUGUCACUCAAGGCCAAGCCUUUUCCCACCACUGAGAUUAGAGAGGACUGUCCAAAUCCGUCCCUGCCCUUUGGCACUGCCAUCCUUUAUUUCUCUGCAUCACUGCCUCUCCAUCUCUGGAAAUCACAUUGGAAGACUUCAUCUUCUCUCCCUUGUCACGGACUCCGAAUUCUCUUUUUGGCUGCCAAGUUGUGGUCUGGGACGCUAAAUGAUGCCACCACGUUCCUUCUGAAAUGGCACGUUUAACUCAUGUGGUGUUAAUGGAGUGAAUUCAAGUGAAUAAAAAGCUAUUUAUUGUCAAGUUUAGUUUUGGGAUUUGGGGAAGAAGGAAUAUGACUCUUUUAAGUCUUCUUCCUGGAUUUUGUAUUAAUUUUUUGUCUGUUAUUUGGUCCAGUACAUGCAUGCAUGAGAUGCUUAAAUAAUUUUGCAGUGGGAAAAAUCCAAAGAUAAUCUCAG